CGGGACGGGUGAGUAACGCGUGGGUAACCUGCCUCAUACAGGGGGAUAACAGUUAGAAAUGGCUGCUAAUACCGCAUAAGACCACAGUACUGCAUGGUACAGUGGUAAAAACUCCGGUGGUAUGAGAUGGGCCCGCGUCUGAUUAGGUAGUUGGUGAGGUAACGGCUCACCAAGCCGACGAUCAGUAGCCGACCUGAGAGGGUGACCGGCCACAUUGGGACUGAGACACGGCCCAG
rnacentral:rRNA from 1 species